UAAAUAGGAAGUUAAUGGCCAAUUGCAACAUAUUUAACUGGACGGAGUCAAAUGGUGAUCAAGAAGACUCAUGGCAUAGGAAUCUUCUCAUUGUGAGCUUUACUCCUGUAUGCUGCACAAUGCGACCUGCAUAGCCUCUGUGUCUCCAAUGAAGAUGACUGCUGCGUGGAAGGAUCUUGGUGUUGAUGAUAUUUUCUUUGCUAAUCCAAUACAUCUAUCUACUAGAAUUCCCACCACACAUGGGGCAUUUCUAAGCAUCUGUUACAAUCCAGAACCAUCAGGAAGUCGCAAAUGACUAAGAGGAUUUCAUGGACAAGUAAGGAAAAUGAAGAAUUAUGAAGAAAUGCUUGCUAAAUUUGUCAUGUUACCUUCUGGUUCACAAUGCGAACAAACAAACAAUGGCGAAAACCAAUUUCUGAAACUCUAUUUUGAUUGACUAACAUUUGCACUUCCAGCAUUAGCAUAAAAAUUUAUAGCCAUCACAGUUGAGUGCCUUCAAACGGGUAAGCAGAUGGUUUGCAUGCAUUGCAGAAGAGAGCUUCAAACUGGAAACAAGCAACUUCAGAAAGUUAUUCAGGAGUAAGCACCGUUAUCUUGAGAAUAAAAAAAAAUAAAAAAAAAAAGAGAAAAGGGAAGAAAAGAAAGGACACCUGGGUAGAAGAUAAUUGAGAAAGAGGGGAAGAAGAGAAAAUCGAGAGAAAGAGAGAGAAUUUGGGGAUAUGUAGGAUAUACUGAUUUUGUGGAUAUGUGAAAAGUGUUGCAAGUUGAAUAUUUACAAACCUAGGGGUGAGCCUAAA